rnacentral:sRNA from 1 species
UUAUUAUGUCUGAGUAGUCUGCUUGUUAGAAAUAGGGUUUCUCAUUAGGGAUUCAUAUGGUUUAGUAGAUCGCCCCCUGUUAGGUUAUUUGUAGAAUUCUUCAUCUUUGAUUAUUCUUAAUGCCCACCAUAGGUAUCUGUAGUUUGAUCUAUUAUUUGAUGAACUUAGUUUAUAUGUGUGUAAUAAGAAUCGACCUAUCUACUAAGGUGAACAAUUGAACUCGUUUAGAAUGCAUGUUUAGGUUCAAGAUUUCUUGGCUUCUCCGGUUAUUCUUAGCUAUA